CCAGUUUGGCAAAGAAAAAGAAAAACUUUCUCCCGCCGCCUGUCGUGCCAGCUUGACGCACCACAAAAUAAGAAGAUAGGCGAAAAAGAGACGGCCAACAGAUGCAGACAGAGAGAGAAGCGAAAAAUUUACUACAAGCCGAUGAUUUACUGACGAAUAAGGAAAAAAUUAUCAUUGCCUUGAGUUAUUUAUUUAUUUUGCGGCUAAAAAAGAAGGGUGUCAGAGGAAAUUGAACUUUUAACUCUCGGAAGCAGCCAUAAAUAGGAAACAAUUGUCAUCGUAGAGAAAGAAUUGGUGGCAAGUAAUUGCUUUUAUUGUAGUAACCAUCUUUACCCGCGAGGCAUUUUGUUUAGAUCAAUAAUAAUUACUAUUAUGGAUGAUAAAAGCGUCUUAAAGAAAAGUAAGAAUUGAGUCAAGCACGUGUUGUUUAGUAAUUAUUUUAACAGCCCAAAUAAACAGAAAAUGUUAUGUUAUAAACAAAUUAAUGACAAUUCACAAGCAAAAUUCAAAAACAAACACCUGACUUGUAAACAUCACGUCAAAUCUUUUUUAACCCAGAUUAGAAAACACGAAUUCGCAAAGUUCAAGUUUGCAAUUAUCAGCCAGCAGUAUCUGCAGCUGUUGCUGAUCGAAAGAGACCCAAAACCUGUGAUAAAUCACCCGCAACGGAGGCAACUGAUAAGGAUGGGGGCCACCCCCAUAAGACGCAGACACUCAGACAGAGCGAGACCCAUUCGAAGUCCCCGACCUGUCAUAUCGCUUUUCUCCCAGCUCGUUGUAUUCAAUCAAUCACGUUUCGCUUAUCGCCCACUCAGCAUGAGAAAAAGCGGAGAUGAGUUGGGGCUGCUGAUGGCAAAAUAUGGCGAACAAAGGGCACUGAAGUCCAUGACCACAGACGUUUAAUCUGCAUCGUUUCAAUUAUUAUGCAAACGGCAAUGAAAGCAAACAAUUUAAGACACACAUUUGAUAAACAAUGAGCGACGCACACAGUGAUAUAUGUGCGUGCCUUGGAAAUGCUGAGUAGUUUGAAGGAAAAGUGGAAAGUUGGCUUCGGAUGCAUAAUUAUUGCGGGGCUUAUUUCUCGUUAAAUGUACUGCGUAACGCUUCCCCUGAAAAAUUCGUGCCAAAAUGCAGUUUUCCCUUUACAAACUUCUUGUUUGUUCAGUUGAUUUGCCUUCUGCUUGCUUGCGUUUGGCACGUUGCUAAUAAAGCAACUAUGCGCCGCACUAACAAACAAAUGAAAAAUCUCGAUAGAUUGCAUAAAACGAAGAAAAUAAAGUGCAGCAAAUAAAAUGCUCAUA